CCUACGGGGUGCAGCAGUGAGGAAUAUUGGUCAAUGGACGAGAGUCUGAACCAGCCAAGUAGCGUGAAGGAUGACUGCCCUAUGGGUUGUAAACUUCUUUUAUAUGGGAAUAAAACGUUCCACGUGUGGGAUUUUGUAUGUACCAUAUGAAUAAGGAUCGGCUAACUCCGUGCCAGCAGCCGCGGUAAUACGGAGGAUCCGAGCGUUAUCCGGCUUUAUUGGGUUUAAAGGGAGCGUAGGUGGAUUGUUAAGUCAGUUGUGAAAGUUUGCGGCUCAACCGUAAAAUUGCAGUUGAAACUGGCAGUCUUGAGUACAGUAGAGGUGGGCGGAAUUCGUGGUGUAGCGGUGAAAUGCUUAGAUAUCACGAAGAACUCCGAUUGCGAAGGCAGUUCACUGGACUGCAACUGACACUGAGGCUCGAAAGUGUGGGUAUCAAACAGGAUUAGAUACCCCUGUAGUC
rnacentral:rRNA from 1 species